GGGUUGUGAGGUUAAGCGACUAAGCGUACACGGUGGAUGCCCUGGCAGUCAGAGGCGAUGAAGGGCGUGCUAAUCUGCGAUAAGCGCCGGUAAGGUGAUAUGAACCGUUAUAACCGGCGAUACCCGAAUGGGGAAACCCAGUGUGAUUCGUCACACUAUCAUUAACUGAAUCCAUAGGUUAAUGAGGCGAACCGGGGGAACUGAAACAUCUAAGUACCCCGAGGAAAAGAAAUCAACCGAGAUUCCCCCAGUAGCGGCGAGCGAACGGGGAGGAGCCCAGAGCCUGAAUCAGCAUGUGUGUUAGUGGAAGCGUCUGGAAAGGCGCGCGAUACAGGGUGACAGCCCCGUACACAAAAGCGCAUGUGCUGUGAGCUCGAUGAGUAGGGCGGGACACGUGGUAUCCUGUCUGAAUAUGGGGGGACCAUCCUCCAAGGCUAAAUACUCCUGACUGACCGAUAGUGAACCAGUACCGUGAGGGAAAGGCGAAAAGAACCCCGGCGAGGGGAGUGAAAAAGAACCUGAAACCGUGUACGUACAAGCAGUGGGAGCACCCUUUGGGUGUGACUGCGUACCUUUUGUAUAAUGGGUCAGCGACUUAUAUUCUGUAGCAAGGUUAACCGAAUAGGGGAGCCGGAGGGAAACCGAGUCUUAAUUGGGCGUUAAGUUGCAGGGUAUAGACCCGAAACCCGGUGAUCUAGCCAUGGGCAGGUUGAAGGUUGGGUAACACUAACUGGAGGACCGAACCGACUAAUGUUGAAAAAUUAGCGGAUGACCUGUGGCUGGGGGUGAAAGGCCAAUCAAACCGGGAGAUAGCUGGUUCUCCCCGAAAGCUAUUUAGGUAGCGCCUCGUGAAUUCAUCUCCGGGGGUAGAGCACUGUUUCGGCUAGGGGGCCAUCCCGGCUUACCAACCCGAUGCAAACUGCGAAUACCGGAGAAUGUUAUCACGGGAGACACACGGCGGGUGCUAACGUCCGUCGUGAAGAGGGAAACAACCCAGACCGCCAGCUAAGGUCCCAAAGUCAUGGUUAAGUGGGAAACGAUGUGGGAAGGCCCAGACAGCCAGGAUGUUGGCUUAGAAGCAGCCAUCAUUUAAAGAAAGCGUAAUAGCUCACUGGUCGAGUCGGCCUGCGCGGAAGAUGUAACGGGGCUAAACCAUGCACCGAAGCUGCGGCAGCGACGCUGAUGCGUUGUUGGGUAGGGGAGCGUUCUGUAAGCCUGCGAAGGUGGCCUGUGAGGGUUGCUGGAGGUAUCAGAAGUGCGAAUGCUGACAUAAGUAACGAUAAAGCGGGUGAAAAGCCCGCUCGCCGGAAGACCAAGGGUUCCUGUCCAACGUUAAUCGGGGCAGGGUGAGUCGACCCCUAAGGCGAGGCCGAAAGGCGUAGUCGAUGGGAAACGGGUUAAUAUUCCCGUACUUGGUGUUACUGCGAAGGGGGGACGGAGAAGGCUAUGUUGGCCGGGCGACGGUUGUCCCGGUUUAAGCGUGUAGGUGUGUGUUCCAGGUAAAUCCGGUUCACUUUAACACUGAGGCGUGACGACGAGGCACUACGGUGCUGAAGCAACAAAUGCCCUGCUUCCAGGAAAAGCCUCUAAGCAUCAGGUAACACGAAAUCGUACCCCAAACCGACACAGGUGGUCAGGUAGAGAAUACCAAGGCGCUUGAGAGAACUCGGGUGAAGGAACUAGGCAAAAUGGUGCCGUAACUUCGGGAGAAGGCACGCUGAUAUGUAGGUGAAGCGGUUUACCCGUGGAGCUGAAAUCAGUCGAAGAUACCAGCUGGCUGCAACUGUUUAUUAAAAACACAGCACUGUGCAAACACGAAAGUGGACGUAUACGGUGUGACGCCUGCCCGGUGCCGGAAGGUUAAUUGAUGGGGUCAGCGCAAGCGAAGCUCCUGAUCGAAGCCCCGGUAAACGGCGGCCGUAACUAUAACGGUCCUAAGGUAGCGAAAUUCCUUGUCGGGUAAGUUCCGACCUGCACGAAUGGCGUAAUGAUGGCCAGGCUGUCUCCACCCGAGACUCAGUGAAAUUGAACUCGCUGUGAAGAUGCAGUGUACCCGCGGCAAGACGGAAAGACCCCGUGAACCUUUACUAUAGCUUGACACUGAACAUUGAGCCUUGAUGUGUAGGAUAGGUGGGAGGCUUUGAAGUGUGGACGCCAGUCUGCAUGGAGCCGACCUUGAAAUACCACCCUUUAAUGUUUGAUGUUCUAACGUGGACCCGUUACCCGGGUUGCGGACAGUGUCUGGUGGGUAGUUUGACUGGGGCGGUCUCCUCCUAAAGAGUAACGGAGGAGCACGAAGGUUGGCUAAUCCUGGUCGGACAUCAGGAGGUUAGUGCAAUGGCAUAAGCCAGCUUGACUGCGAGCGUGACGGCGCGAGCAGGUGCGAAAGCAGGUCAUAGUGAUCCGGUGGUUCUGAAUGGAAGGGCCAUCGCUCAACGGAUAAAAGGUACUCCGGGGAUAACAGGCUGAUACCGCCCAAGAGUUCAUAUCGACGGCGGUGUUUGGCACCUCGAUGUCGGCUCAUCACAUCCUGGGGCUGAAGUAGGUCCCAAGGGUAUGGCUGUUCGCCAUUUAAAGUGGUACGCGAGCUGGGUUUAGAACGUCGUGAGACAGUUCGGUCCCUAUCUGCCGUGGGCGCUGGAGAACUGAGGGGGGGCUGCUCCUAGUACGAGAGGACCGGAGUGGACGCAUCACUGGUGUUCGGGUUGUCAUGCCAAUGGCACUGCCCGGUAGCUAAAUGCGGAAGAGAUAAGUGCUGAAAGCAUCUAAGCACGAAACUUGCCCCGAGAUGAGUUCUCCCUGAGACUUAGAGUCUCCUGAAGGAACGUUGAAGACGACGACGUUGAUAGGCCGGGUGUGUAAGCGCAGCGAUGCGUUGAGCUAACCGGUACUAAUGAACCGUGAGGCUUAACCUUACAACGCCGAAG
rnacentral:rRNA from 1 species